AAAGGCAACCGUUGUUUUGUACCCGCAGUAAAGGUAUACUCAAACUGUAUAAUGUACGGAAUUUUUUUCCAUCGCGCUGAUCAAAAACGUCAGAUUAUAAUGUUUAGGUACGAGAAACAAUUUGUUUGUAGAGUUUAUCCGGAGGUGAAAACCGUACACUGGUCGACAGGUAUACGAGGCAGUGCCCGUAGUAAUAAUACGUAGUAGCCAAAACUCAUUUGUCGGCCCGUUCGUCUGGAAGUUCG